CAAAAGUAGCUUAAAAUAAAGCAUCCGGCCUACACCCAGAAGAUAUUCCGCCAAUCUUUUUGA
rnacentral:tRNA from 1 species